rnacentral:rRNA from 1 species
AGAGUUUGAUCUUGGCUCAUAACGAACGCUGGCGGCAGGCCUAACACAUGCAAGUCGAACGCUGUAGCAAUACAGAGUGGCAGACGGGUGAGUAACACGUGGGAAUCUUCCUAUCGGUACGGAAUAGCUCAGGGAAACUUGGGGUAAUACCGCAUACGCCCUUCGGGGGAAAGAUUUAUCGCCGGUAGAUGAGCCCGCGUCUGAUUAGCUAGUUGGUGAGGUAAUGGCUCACCAAGGCGACGAUCAGUAGCUGGUCUGAGAGGAUGACCAGCCACACUGGGUCUGAGACACGGCCCAGACUCCUACGGGAGGCAGCAGUGGGGAAUAUUGGACAAUGGGCGCAAGCCUGAUCCAGCCAUGCCGCGUGAGUGACGAAGGUCUUCGGAUUGUAAAGCUCUUUUGGCGGGGACGAUAAUGACGGUACCCGCAGAAUAAGCCCCGGCUAACUUCGUGCCAGCAGCCGCGGUAAUACGAAGGGGGCUAGCGUUGUUCGGAAUUACUGGGCGUAAAGCGCACGUAGGCGGAUUUGUAAGUCAGGGGUGAAAUCCCGGGGCUCAACCUCGGAACUGCCUUUGAUACUGCAAGUCUUGAGUCCGGAAGAGGUGAGUGGAAUUCCUAGUGUAGAGGUGAAAUUCGUAGAUAUUAGGAAGAACACCAGUGGCGAAGGCGGCUCACUGGUCCGGUACUGACGCUGAGGUGCGAAAGCGUGGGGGAGCAAACAGGAUUAGAUACCCUGGUAGUCCACGCCGUAAACUAUGGAUGCUAGCCGUCGGCAAGCUUGCUUGUCGGUGGCGCAGCUAACGCUUUAAGCAUCCCGCCUGGGGGAGUACGGCCGCAAGGUUAAAACUGAAACGAAUUGACGGA